rnacentral:rRNA from 1 species
UACGAAGGGAGCGAGCGUUAUUCGGAAUCACUGGGCUUAAAGCGCGUGUAGGCGGAUGGGGACGUCGGUUGCUGAAAUCCCCCGGCUCAACCGGGGAACGGGCACCGAAACGCCCCGUCUGGAGGGACGUAGGGGGACCUGGAACUUCCGGUGGAGCGGUGAAAUGCGUUGAGAUCGGAAGGAACGCCCGUGGCGAAAGCGAGGUCCUGGACGUUUUCUGACGCUGAGACGCGAAAGCUAGGGUAGCGAACGGG